AGAGUUUGAUCCUGGCUCAGGACGAACGCUGGCGGCGUGCUUAACACAUGCAAGUCGAACGAUGAAGCCCUUCGGGGUGGAUUAGUGGCGAACGGGUGAGUAACACGUGGGCAAUCUGCCCUUCACUNUGGGACAAGCCCUGGAAACGGGGUCUAAUACCGGAUAACACUCUGUCCCGCAUGGGACGGGGUUAAAAGCUCCGGCGGUGAAGGAUGAGCCCGCGGCCUAUCAGCUUGUUGGUGGGGUAAUGGCCUACCAAGGAGAGGACGGGUAGCCGCCCUGAGAGGGUGACCGGCCACACUGGGACUGAGACGCGGCCC
rnacentral:rRNA from 1 species